rnacentral:rRNA from 1 species
GACGAACGCUGGCGGCGUGCUUAACACAUGCAAGUCGAACGAUGAAGAAGAGAAACGCGAACUUCGGUUCAAAUUUCACUUCGGAUUAGUGGCAGACGGGUGAGUAACGCGUGAGCAACCUACCUCUUACAAAGGGAUAGCCUCGGGAAACCGUGAUUAAUACCAUAUGACACAUUCAUAAGGCAUCUUAAGAAUGUUAAAGCUACGGCGGUAAGAGAUGGGCUCGCGUCCCAUUAGCUAGUUGGUGAGGUAACGGCCCACCAAGGCGACGAUGGGUAACCGGCCUGAGAGGGUGAACGGUCACAUUGGAACUGAGACACGGUCCAAACUCCUACGGGAGGCAGCAGUGGGGAAUAUUGCACAAUGGAGGGAACUCUGAUGCAGCGACGCCGCGUGAGCGAUGAAGGAAUUCGUUUCGUAAAGCUCUGUUCUAUGGGAAGAAAAGGACUGUACCAUAGGAGAAAGCCCCGGCUAAAUACGCG